rnacentral:rRNA from 1 species
AUGGAACGAGUGGCGGACGGGUGAGUAACACGUGGGUGGAACCUGCCCUUAAGUGGGGGAUAACAUUUGGAAACAGAUGCUAAUACCGCAUAGAUCCAAGAACCGCAUGUUGUUCUUGGCUGAAAGAUGGCGUAAGCUAUCGCUUUUGGAUGGACCCGCGGCGUAUUAGCUAGUUGGUGAGAAGUAAUGGCUCACCAAGGCGAUGAUACGUAGCCGAACUGAGAGGUUGAUCGGCCACAUUGGGACUGAGACACCGGCCCAAACUCCUACGGGAGGCAGCAGUAGGGAAUCUUCCACAAUGGACGCAAGUCUGAUGGAGCAACGACCGCGUGAGUGAAGAAGGCUUUCGGGUCGUAAAACUCUGUUGUUGGAGAAGAAUGGUCGGCAGAGUAACUAGUUGUCGGCGUGACGGUAUCCAACCAGAAAGCCACGGCUAACUACGUGCCAGCAGCCGCGGUAAUACGUAGGUGGCAAGCGUUAUCCGGAUUUAUUGGGCGUAAAGCGAGCGCAGGCGGUUUUUUAAGUCUGAUGUGAAA